rnacentral:rRNA from 1 species
UACGAACCGUACGAACGUUAUUCGGAAUCACUGGGCUUAAAGAGUGCGUAGGCGGCUCAGAAAGUUGGGUGUGAAAUCCCUCGGCUCAACCGAGGAAUUGCGCUCAAAACUACUGGGCUUGAGGGAGGCAGGGGCGUGCGGAACUUCCGGUGGAGCGGUGAAAUGCGUAGAUAUCGGAAGGAACACCGGUGGCGAAAGCGGCGCGCUGGAUCUCUACUGACGCUGAGGCGCGAAAGCCAGGGGAGCAAACGGG